UACGAAGGGUGCAAGCGUUACUCGGAAUUACUGGGCGUAAAGCGUGCGUAGGUGGUUUGUUAAGUCUGAUGUGAAAGCCCUGGGCUCAACCUGGGAACGGCAUUGGAAACUGGCUUACUAGAGUGCGGUAGAGGGGUGUGGAAUUCCCGGUGUAGCAGUGAAAUGCGUAGAUAUCGGGAGGAACACCGGUGGCGAAGGCGGCGACCUGGGUAGAUACUGACGCUGAGGUGCGAAAGCGUGGGGAGCAAACAGG
rnacentral:rRNA from 1 species